AUGCAGGCUGAUCAGCGAGAUUGAGUCAGAAGUGACUCUGUUCUUUCCUGUAGUGUCUGCUAGAUGAAGCUGGGGUAGUUUGAGGCCAUGCUUUAUACUCCCUACUGCACGGUUAUAGAAACCCCAGACAAGC